ACCAUUAAUUUUUACUUUUUUUUUUUUUUUUAAUUAAAAUUAAAUAAAAUUUAAUUAAAAAAAAAUUCUCGUCUCCACUUCCCUUCCUACCCGGUCCACCGCUCCCCCCUCUCUCUCUCUCUCCGGGUCCACGCCUCCCCCUGGUGUAUCUCCGCCAUGUUGUCUCCUCGUCGUGGUCCGGGGUCCGUGGGCGUUCCUCUGGUGUCUCCAUGUAGGUGGUGUCCUGGCCGGGGCUCGAACCCGCACAGAUGUCUCCAGUGUAGUCCUUUGAAGCCGUCUCCCUAUCCGCUAGGCUAUGGCGUCUUCCGGGUUGGAGAAAAAAUUUUUUGAGGUGAUAAACAUUAGAACGAAAUAUUGAUGCGCACACGUAUUAUACGCGUAUAUACACAGUAGCGAUUAGUCUCUAGAUCAGGCGCUCUCUCAAGAGUAUUGUCUUGAAUCAAGACUACCAGUCAAUAGCCUACUCAGCCACAAGGAAACAUAAACUUGUUUGUCGGUUUUGUUUUAAUAAAGAAUUUAAUAAGUUUGUCGUUUUUUAAAAAUAAAAUUUGAAUGAGCUAA